GAUGAGAACGUAGUGAAAUGCGAUAAGUAAUGUGAAUUGCAGAAUUCAGUGAAUCAUCGAAUCUUUGAACGCACAUUGCGCCCGCCAGUAUUCUGGCGGGCAUGCCUGUCUGAGCGUCAUUUCAACCCUCAUGCCCCUAGGGCGUGGUGUUGGGGAUCGGCCAAAGCCCGCGAGGGACGGCCGGCCCCUAAAUCUAGUGGCGGACCCGUCGUGGCCUCCUCUGCGAAGUAGUGAUAUUCCGCAUCGGAGAGCGACGAGCCCCUGCCGUUAAACCCCCAACUUUCCAAGGUUGACCUCAGAUCAGGUAGGAAUACCCGCUGAACUUAAGCAUAUCAAUAAGCGGAGGAA
rnacentral:misc_RNA from 1 species